CCUCCCACCAGCUUCAUUCCUCCAAACUCCCAAACCAGCAGCACUGUCUCCUAAGAUACAACAGGACAGGCUUUGAGGACAGAAACCCAGGGUCACGUUCCUGCUCCAUCACUUUCCAUCAGCAUGGUCUCGGGCAAGGGAAUCGUAAGCAGGUAACUGAUCAUCUGGAAACCUGGGGGACAAGAGGGAAGAAAUGACACCUAGGAUGCUCCAUCCUUUCCCUGCAUCCCUUUGUGUUCAGUUCAACAACUUGGUUCUCCUCCUGACCAGCCACUGUGCUUGGCUGAGGACACAAAGGUGAAGGAGACAGUCUAGUAUAAAACAUGACACAGACCAGACCCAAAGGGGAGGAAGAGGUCCUGUAGAAAGGUGAAGGGGCAUCAUUCACCAAGCCUCUCCAGCAUUAACCAGAGACUGCUGGAGGGCAGCGUGAGCCUACGGAAAAGACUCGACAUCCAGGGUUUGGACUUAAAGGCCCUAGUGUGGACUUCUUCAGUGCUCUGAUUCCUUGAAGAUUCUGUUGGCUUGUUCUCAAAACGUAAGCAACUUUCCAGUGCCAACAUAUUGAAUUCCUUGCCCACGGGGCAUUUCUCAUCAUCAUGGGUUGCAAUGUG
rnacentral:lncRNA from 1 species